AGUCGAGCGAACGAAGGGAGCUUGCUCCCGGAUGUUAGCGGCGGACGGGUGAGUAACACGUGGGUAACCUGCCUGUAAGACUGGGAUAACUCCGGGAAACCGGAGCUAAUACCGGAUAGUUCCUUGAACCGCAUGGUUCAAGGAUGAAAGACGGUUUCGGCUGUCACUUACAGAUGGACCCGCGGCGCAUUAGCUAGUUGGUGGGGUAAUGGCUCACCAAGGCGACGAUGCGUAGCCGACCUGAGAGGGUGAUCGGCCACACUGGGACUGAGACACGGCCCAGACUCCUACGGGAGGCAGCAGUAGGGAAUCUUCCGCAAUGGACGAAAGUCUGACGGAGCAACGCCGCGUGAGUGAUGAAGGUUUUCGGAUCGUAAAGCUCUGUUGUUAGGGAAGAACAAGUGCGAGAGUAACUGCUCGCACCUUGACGGUACCUAACCAGAAAGCCACGGCUAACUACGUGCCAGCAGCCGCGGUAAUACGUAGGUGGCAAGCGUUGU
rnacentral:rRNA from 1 species